ensembl:lncRNA
GGAGGAAUACAGGGCUGUUGUCCGUGUGUGUAGAGAUAGGAUUAGGAAAGCCAAGGCGCAGAUGGAGCUGAACUUGGUGCGGGAUGCGACAGACAACAAGAAGGGGUUCUACAGGUACAUAGGCAGGAGGAGACAGGCCAAGGAGAGUGUUCUCCCCCCGAUGAAAGGUAAUGGGGAGCUGGCUUCCUCAGACAUAGAAAAAGCUGAGGUACUUAAUGAGUGCUUUGCCUCAGUCUUCACGGGUGGUCAGGCUUCCCAUGUCUGCCAGGACCAUGAGCCUCUAGGUGAGGGUGUGGGGAGUGGUUUCUGUCCACCAAGCUGAGCGGUGCAGUCGAUACAUUGGAAGGAAGGGAAGCCAUCCCGAGGGACCUGGACAGGCUGGAGAAGUGGUCCCACGAAAACCUAAUGAGGUUCAAUAAGGCCAAGUGCAGGGUGCUGCACUUGGGUCGGGGCAAUCCCAGGUACUUCUAUAAACAGGGGGGAAGAUCUCCGUGAGAGCAGCCCUGUGGAGAAGGACCUGGGGGUCCUGGUGGAUGAGAAGCUGGACAUGAACCAGCAGUGUGCACCUGCAGCCUGGAAGGCCAACUGUGUGCUGGGCUGCAUUUAAAAAAAAAAAAAAAAAAAAAAAAAAGGCAGUGGCCAGCAGGGAGAGGUGAUUGUGCCCCUCUACUCAGCUCUUGAGAGGCCCCAUCUGAAGUACUGCGUCCAGACCUGGUGCUCCCAGUACAGGAAGGACAUGGAGCUCUUGGAGCGCAUCCAGAGGAGGGCCACUAAGAUGAUCAGAGGGCAGGAGCACCUCUCCUGUGAGGAAAGGUUGAGGGAACUGGGCUUGUUUAGCUUGGAGAAGAGAAGGGGAACGGCUGUUUGUGAGGGUGGAAAGUGGUAGGAUAAGGAGGAAUAGUCUUAAACUGAGACAGGGGUGGUUUAGGUUAGAUAUUAGGAGGAAG